AUUGAACGCUGGCGGCAGGCCUAACACAUGCAAGUCGAGCGGAUGAAGGGAGCUUGCUCCUGGAUUCAGCGGCGGACGGGUGAGUAAUGCCUAGGAAUCUGCCUGGUAGUGGGGGAUAACGUCCGGAAACGGGCGCUAAUACCGCAUACGUCCUGAGGGAGAAAGUGGGGGAUCUUCGGACCUCACGCUAUCAGAUGAGCCUAGGUCGGAUUAGCUAGUUGGUGGGGUAAAGGCCUACCAAGGCGACGAUCCGUAACUGGUCUGAGAGGAUGAUCAGUCACACUGGAACUGAGACACGGUCCAGAAUCCUACGGGAGGCAGCAGUGGGGAAUAUUGGACAAUGGGCGAAAGCCUGAUCCAGCAAUGCCGCGUGUGUGAAGAAGGUAUUCGGAUUGUAAAGCACUUUAAGUUGGGAGGAAGGGCAGUAAGUUAAUACCUUGCUGUUUUGACGUUACCAACAGAAUAAGCACCGGCUAACUUCGUG
rnacentral:rRNA from 1 species